ACACUCUCGGCCCUUUCUGUAUCCCCUCGGCUCUUCCCUUCACGACUCUGCGACUCGGACAAGCCCGGCGCUCUCGGCCAGCUGUCGGUUGUUUCCGUCUCCGCCAGGGCUCUGCGAUUCCCACAACCUCGGCGCACUCAGCCAGCCAUCGGUUGUUUCCGUCGCCCUCCGGCUCCCCGCCCGGAUGUGUUAGUCUCAGUUCAUGCACAGCCCGCGGGACGCGCUCGUGUGCGCUGGGCGGUGGCUGUGUCUGUUCUGAAAUCGCAGCUCGCGGAGAACUGUGCUCCAGGAGGAGUCCUGUGAGAUGCCUGGACUCCAUGGUGGUGGAUACUGUGAAGCAUGAAGGAGGCCUUCAGCCUCCAGACCUGCUGCCAUUCUGCCGGUCAUUUUACAGGCUAGCUCGAAGCCCAGCUGACACUAUUUAUAUGAACAUCUUGGUUUCAGAAAGAUGCAUACCUUGCUUGUCUCCCACACACACAGCGGUGAAACAGAAUCCGACUCUGCCAGAUUUGUCAACUUAGUUUUCUUUCUGAUGACUCUCUGGAUGUUGAAAAGCAGACUCUCUUCCGUCAACAGUGAUGUUCCACCCUACAGGACACAAGGAUGCUGACUUUUAAAGCUACAGCUCAGCUCUUCAUCUUGGAUGCACGUGGUGUCUGGGAAUCCUGCAGGUGGGUCCAGCUGCCCACGUCAUGGCCUACCUCUUCACCAUCAUCAACAGCCUGCAGAGCGUCUCCAUCUUCCUGGUGUACUGCCUCCUCAGCCAGCAGGUUCGGGAACAAUACGGGAAAUGGCUCAAAAGGGUCAGGAAACCCAAAGCUGAGUCUGAGACUUUCACGCUUUCCAGCAGGGCCGUGUCUGAUGCCUCCAAACCCAUCACGGUAUGAUCAUGCAUUGCUCCCAGAAUACUUCACCAACUGAUCUGCCCGAGCAGCAUGUGCCUAUCACACUGGACAACCUGGGUGAACAGCAGAUGAUGCC